rnacentral:lncRNA from 1 species
AAGGAGGUAGUAGAGAGGCAAAACAAUGAAUAUAUGGUGGUUUAUAAGAGUGGGAUUGAAAAGAAAUCAUGGAGGGGAAUUUUAAAAUGUUUACUGCCUCUGAGGCACAAUGGCGGACGCCAUAAGCCUAAUGGCGAAUACCAUUGCCCUAUAAUGCGUAGUUUUUGUUUUUUAUGCUAAUGGCGAACGCCAAAGGUGUAAAGUGUGUAGAAAU